AUCUGCUGCGGGCAGAUGUAAUGAAUAUGGGUGUCAAUACCGCCUGCAGUGACAAUCAGCCCUUCUCCUGCCAGCGCUUCUGUGGACGCGCCUACAAUCAUCCCCGGAGUCACACCGUCCAUAACGGCAGGAUUUCCAGCCUUACCAAUACCCUUGAUUUUGCCGUCUUUGAUUCCGAUAUCCGCUUUCACAAUCCCUGUAUAGUCUACAAUCAGGGCGUUGGUAAUUACCAAAUCCAAAUCUCCGUCGCUGCUUUUUGUUUUUACAGACUGUCCCAUACCAUCACG
rnacentral:sRNA from 1 species